rnacentral:tRNA from 1 species
GGGGUCAUAGCUCAAGUUGGUAGAGCGCUUGUUUUGCACGCAAGAGGUCAGGAGUUCGAUUCUCCUUGAUUCCA